ACCACUCAACAACACAUCUAGGAGUCGCCUACUACUCUCUUUAAUUCUCUCUCAACCAUGUACAAAUACUCCUCUCUCUCUCUCUAUAUAUAUGUAUUCAAUGAUAUACCAUAGUCCAUACACAUAACAUUUGUUAUUGGAAGUUGAUGAUGACGAUGAUAUUGAUGAAGUACGAGUUUGAUGAUGAUGAUCACAUAAGUUUUGAUGUUAUUAUUAUGAAGGCUGCUGGAACUACUUGUUAGUAAUGAUCAGAGCACUGGUGGUUAUGUUGGCCGUGACGGUGUCUCUUCUGGUGUUGCCGCUGAUUCUGCCUCCGCUUCCUCCGCCGCCUUUGAUGCUUCUUCUCGUUCCGGUUGCGAUCAUGCUUGUCUUGAUACUAUUGGCCUUUUCGCCUUCACAACUGCCCAAUGUUACAGACACUGUGGUAUCGGACGGUUCCAGUCUUAGAGCUUGUUCAUGCUGAGUAGAAACGGUCACUCAUUUUUCCGACGACGUAUGAUUUCUCUUUAUGGUUUAGCUUUAGAUUUAUUUCAGUUGUUCGCUUUUCAGUUUGGGAUUUUAUUAGGGGUCCACUAGAUGGAUUCCCGAGUUGUUUAAAUAUCGGAGGUUUUGGGAUUAUUGGAUUUUAAUUAUUUAAUUUUAAAGGAUUUUUAAUUUAGAAUUCUUUUAGAUUUA